ACCUUUUCCUAUUAUUACUAUUAGUAUUAUGUUGUUGCAGGGAAGUGACUGAGAAGAACUGAGUCGUGAAAGGCCGUGGACUCGACCGGAGCAUGGAGGACACCUCAAAAUCCCUAAAAAAACAUUACCAACUCUCUCGAGCUGCCAAGCGCCGCUUCGGACGCAGAGGCAGAGUAGGCGAGAAGAAAAGCGGCGACAAACACGACGAGGAUGACGGUGAGAACGAGGAUGAGGAGGACGAGGGCUGUGAUGUGCAGGCGUGGGAGACAUUGAGCAAGAGCUUUAACGACGUGCAAUCUGUUUUGGAUCAUAAUCGAGUUUUGAUCAAGCAAGUCAACGAAAAUCACCAGUCUAAAGUUGCAGAUAAUUUGGUUAAAAAUGUUGCCCUAAUUCAGGAGAUUAACGGUAAUAUUUCUAAAGUCAUGGGGAUUUACUCUGAUCUCUCUGUCAAUUUCUCCAGCAUCGUUCAACAGCGACAAGCUCUAUCCAAGAGUAGUGGCGAUACCAGCAACAGCAGUAGCAAUAGCUAACCGCCAGCCGGGGGACUCUCCGAGAAACUAUCAGAUUUGAUCAAAGUCAUCGGUGGUGGAUCCUUCAAGAAAUUUCAGAACGAUUAGUCGCUGAGCUGCAGGGAUGCUUAUUGACUGUGCAAAGACAUGAUUAAGGUAUUUAUGUUUUAAUUUGGUUGAUAUUGUUUUCCUGCAGCUGGUUCCUAGAAUUGACUUGGCGCGCAAUUGUUUUAGUUAGCGGCUAUGUUUGUUUAGGAUUGACUGCUGUUAACGCCAAAUACUCUGCCUGUGUUAUUCUCAUGUUGUCCCGUCCCCAUCUGUAAGAGGAAGCCUGAUAUUUGGCUCCCUUCUCAUCUCCCGGAACUCCCCCUCCCUUCCUAGAGCAGUCUCAUACAUGAUACACCGCAAAAGCUUUGAAAAUGGAUGAAACUACCCAAAGAGAAAGCAUUUCCAGUAAGAUAUGACCACAAAGAGAACAAAUAUUGAUGCCACUGUUAAAUUUGUUGCGAACGUCAUCCUCUUCCCUUGCCAUUGCCACUAUUACCCUCCUCAGCUGCCAUUAAAUACUAAUGAUUCACCACUAGUAGAAGGCAAUUGGAUGAAAUUGAAAAGACUCUGCAAUUGGUGAUGAGUAGGAGGUUUACUGUUGUAUAGCAUCUUCUACUUACUCUUUUGUGCUUGGCCAAUCAACCCCUGGGGUUCAUGAAGGUUAGCCCCGGCAUGACUACUAUAAUCGUGUUACAGAUUAUGCUCCCAAAUUCUACCACUUUGAGUCCCUUGAAAAAGUUCAUUUUACUGGGGAGGCUGUACAUCUGUCAAACAUGGUGGUUAGGAUCUCAGUUUGAGACGGGGGAUCUAGCAAUAGUAGUGGGAAAGUAAAGAUAGAAAGCUUCUUGUGGAGGGGUUAUUAGUGCUGGGAAAACAGAAAGCGGAACAGUUAACAAGGGGAUUCUCAAUGGUCUAGCUAAAAUUAUUUGGGGAUCACGAUGACUCUGAACUCCUCUUUGGACGUUUAGCAGAAGGAUCCACAAUUACAUGUAUCUUUCUGAUUGUUCCACAUCAUUAGCUUCAAGACCAUAUUUCCUGCCAUUACUUGGUUUUCUUUUGACUGUUCAUCAGGGAAUAGCUUGGCCUGAUUCUGAAAGAAUAUGCAGAACUUUUUGUGGUUGACAAUCAUUUUAGCAGGUUAUUGUGUCUUCUGUAAUUUCUUGUACUGAAAAACUUGUAGCUAUUAUCAGUCAAGUGCCUAUAAGGAGAGGGCUUCUUGAUAUUUAUCAUACUAACUUCUCCUAGAAUUAACUGGAUUCUAGCCACUAUUGCUGGAUAUCCAAGCAGCCAUAUGCCAAGGAAAUUAUCUUGCUGCGCUUUGCUUUUGUGAUAGUAACAAAGCUGCGGGGAUCAGGACAGUAUGAGGUCUACUUAGUGCGAUUGGGGAUGAGGUUUCUCUUUGGUGUUAUCACUUGAUCUGCUUCCUGACGACACCGUUGGAGAGUUUAUGUUAACAAGACACGCAUAUAUCAGACUUGAUCGUAUGGUUCAUUUGAAGGUGAGCUUCUUCUCAGUUAGUGCGAUGUUUUCUGAAAUAAUGUCCUUACUAUUCUAUAAUCUGAUACGUUACCGAUUUGAGCCGCUUGUUCUGUUACGGAGGCUGGAGAAGACCUUUGUUGUUGCAUCGCAAAAUAUUAGACUCGUAAAGACUGAAGCUAAGUUCGACCUAGUGUGAUAUAGGGAAGAAUUUUGUUUAUUUUUCUCUUAGUGACAUUUACAUACACGUUUUAGCCGUUGGAUUUUAUGCCUCUUGUAAUUGGAUAACUGCAUUGCCCCGUCCGACAUUUUGUUCAAUUUUCAUGUCUUUAGCUAGAAGGAUGGUCAAUGUUGAGGUUUCAAAUUGUUGGCUGUUACAGCAUCGUGCUAUUUAAUCUCGAUUACGUACA